rnacentral:rRNA from 1 species
CGCCUUGCCAGCCCGCUCAGAAACUCAAAGGAAUUGACGGGGGCCCGCACAAGCGGAGGAGCAUGUGGUUUAAUUCGAUGAUACGCGAGGAACCUUACCUGGGCUCGAACGUAAGAUGACUGUAGGUGAAAGCUUACAUCUCUUCGGAGCAUUUUACGAGGUGCUGCAUGGUUGUCGUCAGCUCGUGCCGUGAGGUGUCGGGUUAAGUCCCAUAACGAGCGCAACCCCUACCUUUAGUUGCCAUCAGGUUAAGCUGGGGACUCUAAAGGAACUGCCUACGCAAGUAGUGAGGAAGGCGGGGAUGACGUCAAAUCAGCACGGCCCUUACGUCCAGGGCUACACACGUGCUACAAUGGCCGAUACAGAGGGCAGCUACCUGGUGACAGGAUGCAAAUCUCCAAAGUCGGUCUCAGUUCGGAUCGGAGUCUGCAACCCGACUCCGUGAAGUUGGAUUCGCUAGUAAUCGCGCAUCAGCCAUGGCGCGGUGAAUACGUUCCCGGGCCUU